GAUGAACGCUGGCGGCGUGCCUAAUACAUGCAAGUCGAGCGAACGGACGAGAAGCUUGCUUCUCUGAUGUUAGCGGCGGACGGGUGAGUAACACGUGGAUAACCUACCUAUAAGACUGGGAUAACUUCGGGAAACCGAAGCUAAUACCGGAUAAUAUUUUGAACCGCAUGGUUCAAAAGUAAAAGACGGUCUUGCUGUCACUUAUAGAUGGAUCCGCGCUGCAUUAGCUAGUUGGUAAGGUAACGGCUUACCAAGGCAACGAUGCAUAGCCGACCUGAGAGGGUGAUCGGCCACACUGGAACUGAGACACGGUCCAGACUCCUACGGGGGGCAGCAGUAGGGAAUCUUCCGCAAUGGGCGAAAGCCUGACGGAGCAACGCCGCGUGAGUGAUGAAGGUCUUCGGAUCGUAAAACUCUGUUAUUAGGGAAGAACAUAUGUGUAAGUAACUGUGCACAUCUUGACGGUACCUAAUCAGAAAGCCACGGCUAACUACGUG
rnacentral:rRNA from 1 species